UACGUAGGGUGCAAGCGUUAAUCGGAAUUACUGGGCGUAAAGCGUGCGCAGGCGGUUUGGUAAGACAGAUGUGAAAUCCCCGGGCUUAACCUGGGAAUUGCAUUUGUGACUGCCCGGCUAGAGUGUGUCAGAGGGGGGUAGAAUUCCACGUGUAGCAGUGAAAUGCGUAGAUAUGCGGAGGAACACCGAUGGCGAAGGCAGCCCCCUGGGCCAACACUGACGCUCAGGCACGAAAGCGUGGGGAGCAAACAGG
rnacentral:rRNA from 1 species